rnacentral:lncRNA from 1 species
GUGACUAUUUGAGUUGGAGAUAUAAACCUUGGAUUUUAGGCAUAGCUAUAUGAGUCAGAUAUAGCUAUGUGGCCACCACCGCUGUGACCUGGUAUACUAGACUUCAGUAAGUCAGUCGGUGAAUGCUUUCUUUUUGUAAUAAAAAAUCCCGGUAGCUAAGUGGUUUAGCGGGCGACAGUUAGAGUUCAAGUGAAUGGUCGUUCUUGUGUGGGUUCGACUCCCAUAGCCCCGAUGUGACGAAAAAGACUGAUUCAACGAGAUACGCCGUGCCUGCAUUAAGAUUUCAAACUUGUCGUCUACUUUCAGG